GUUUAUGAACCCAUUGAGAUGACUCAAGAAUUUCGCUAUUUCGAUUUUGCUAGUCUUUGGAACAGCGUAGCGACGGAUAAUUCAGAAUCAGAAUAGGUCCACCAGUUCAAACAUACAAU
rnacentral:sRNA from 1 species